rnacentral:rRNA from 1 species
AUUGAACGCUGGCGGCAGGCCUAACACAUGCAAGUCGAACGAGUGGCGGACGGGUGAGUAAUGUCUGGGAAACUGCCUGAUGGAGGGGGAUAACUACUGGAAACGGUAGCUAAUACCGCAUACAAUCGGAUGUGCCCAGAUGGGAUUAGCUAGUAGGUGGGGUAAAGGCUCACCUAGGCGACGCUCCCUAGCUGGUCUGAGAGGAUGACAAGCAACACUGGAACGGAGAAAAGGUCCAGACGCGUACGGGAGGAAGCAGUGGGGAAUAUGGCAAAAUGGGCGCAAGCAUGAUGCAGCCAGGCCGCGUGUAUGAAGAAGGCCUUCGGGUUGUAAAGUACUUUCAGCGGGGAGGCGUUACCCGCAGAAGAAGCACCGGCUAACGCCGUGCCAGCAGCCGCGGUAAUUC